CGUAUUGCUUCGUUAUACACA
rnacentral:siRNA from 1 species